GACGAACGCUGGCGGCGUGCUUAACACAUGCAAGUCGAACGGAAAGGCCCUGCUUUUGUGGGGUGCUCGAGUGGCGAACGGGUGAGUAACACGUGAGUAACCUGCCCUUGACUUUGGGAUAACUUCAGGAAACGGGGGCUAAUACCGGAUCGGAGCUCCUGCUGCAUGGUGGGGGUGGGAAAGUUUCGGCGGUUGGGGAUGGACUCGCGGCUUAUCAGCUUGUUGGUGGGGUAGUGGCUUACCAAGGCUUUGACGGGUAGCCGGCCUGAGAGGGUGACCGGCCACAUUGGGACUGAGAGACGGCCCAGAGUCCUACGGGAGGCAGCAGUGGGGAAUCUUGCCCAAUGGGCGGAAGCCGGAUGAAGAAACGCCGCGUGCGGGAUGACGGCCUGCGGGUUGUAAACCGCUUUCGCCUGUGACGAAGCGUGAGUGACGGUAAUGGGUAAAGAAGCACCGGCUAACUACGUG
rnacentral:rRNA from 1 species